rnacentral:tRNA from 1 species
UGGGGGAUCGUCCAAUGGCAGGACUACGGACUCUGACUCCGUCAAUCCAGGUUCAAAUCCUGGUCCCUCAGCCA